GCUCAGCCUUAUCUAGCGCGCAGGCUCUUCUUCAAAAAUCCCAUACGUACAUCUCCCUUCCCUCGCCUUAUCUCUCCACCGCUUUCUCUCUUCCAUCUGAUAUGCCGCGUCGCUGUAUUCUGGAAAGCAAAAGAAAAUCCCACCGCUGUUCUUGUGUUGAAAUUCCUGCCGUCUCUUCUUAUCUGCUGCUAGGAUUUUUACCGUCGUCAUUCUCCCAGCUGAGCUCUCUCUCUGCUCUUUCUCGCAUCCAGCCAUGGCGCCCCUGUUCUUCUCUUUUCCAGUCCGGCCAGCUGAGCGCUCCUUCUCCCACCCAUGGAGCUCCCGGCCGUGCAGCUCGCCCAAUCCCUAGCCCGACCGGAGCUCCCUACAACUCGAGUUCCCAUCUCCCUGUAUCUCCCAUGGGAGAGCGUCCUGCCGAGGUCUCUCCAUGGCCGGCGCUCGGACUGUGUUAUUUCUUCCAGGCUGCCGCGCCCUACCCUCUGUUCUCCUCGCCGGUCCGAGCUCGCCUAGCUCAGCCACUCUUCUCUACUCGCCUAGUCUGCGCGCCGUCCCAUCCCCUCUCUAUCCGGCCAUGGCCGCUGUGCCGAGGCCUCCUUCCCCGCGCGCAGUUUUUCCCCCCGCUCGGAGUCCCUCCCAUGGCAGUCGCUUGUCUGUUUCCCUGAUGCUCGCCGCGCGCUUCUCUGUUGACCGGCGUGAUCCCUUUCUCUAAUGUUUUCCUGCUCGUCCGUCCGCUGCUCCAUCGUCGUUCUCGGGCCGACCGUCGGCAGCUCCCCGGCUUCCGUCAUGCUCGGCAGCAAGUAAUUCAUGUCGAAGCAGCAGCUACGAUCCCUUACGUCAGCUCGCCAGACCUACAGCUCCAUAUAUGUCACUCUCCCGUAUCGUUGUCGAGCCCGGCGAACCUCGUUCUUCUCUGCUCGAUCUCGUCGACCACGAAUCUCGGACUUUAGACAAAAAUAAGUGAGGUCCCUGUGCAUCUCUUAUCAAGUACUCGGUCGAAGACUUCAAUCGAAGAUCGUCGUCAUUCCGUGCGUCAUCGAGGAAUCCCAAGGAUCGGAUGAAGACGAAGCUAGCAGCGCGGUAUUCCCCAAGCGCUCGACAAAUUGCCUGAAUCGGAAAAAUCGCUACUGAUCUCAUGGAUUCAUGUCAGCUGUGGAAACGGUACGUGAAUUAACCACACGAUGCGGAGAACCAUAACUGAGUCGACCAUAAGAUGGUGCUGAUGAACGGAACUGGAGAUGGACAGACGAAACAAGUAUCGGGACAAAGGAUGGUCGUCAAGUGAUCGACGCCUAACAAACACUAACGUAGUGUUUAUCCCAGGCAAGCCCCGGUGCAUGCAACCCCUUCCUUGUGUUUUUAAAUAAUUUUUGCACACUUUAAGUCUAGUGAAAUGUGCAUUAGGUUUAUAGGAGUUGCUUGGAAACCCUUUGAUGCAUUGCCUUCCUUGAUAUCCAUACCUUUAUAGAUACUUCUGGUGAAGUAUCAAAAUAUGAUUUACAAAAAUGCUUAGCCCUGCUUAGAUCUUGUGGAUAGAGGUUGCCUUUUGCAUUAAUGCCUAGCUCAGGGGUUAUCUUGAGGAAAGAUGGCUUCUACCUGAAAGAAUAUUUUCAUUAAGAGCGUGGUGGGAUCUUACUGCAAAGUUCCCUUUGAUGCUCUUUUCAUCCUAAGGAACACAAACAAUCCUAAGGAUGGAAGGCCUGUUGAUCAAGGACUAUCUUAACUAGCCACAUGCCCUGGAAAUGGGACAGGGUAAGCUUGAACCCGGCUAUUCCAUACAUGAAAAGACAAUCGUGCACUGGGAGUGGAGAGAUGGCGAGAGUGGCACGUACCCUCCUAGCAAAGGACCGCCUAAAAGGGGUGGUGUGCUCUCGGGUGGCGCGGACCUGUUCAUGCAGUGGAGGAUCCGUGGGAAUGGUAGACAUGCAAGGUUUACGAGAAACAUAUGUCGUGUGGUUAGAGAUCCUCAGCUGAGUAAAUCGAUUCGGAUCGCCGUUAUAUCCCCGGAGAGUGGAGACUUGAUCGCUGCCCUGCAACCUAAGUCAGGAUGUGAACCUCAUGAAUAAAAAUGAAGUUUUAUUGAUGAGAUGGUGAAAUUAGACCAGAUGCAAACAUAGUCUAUUAAUAUUUAAUCUGGCAUUAAAAUAUUGAAAGUAAGGACUCACUUUAGUUAGCUAAUUCUGCAAAAGUAUCUAAGUUGAUUCUUGCUAAAACCUCUCCUUGAUUCCCAAAUCCAGCAUAUCCUUGAGAGUCUUUUCUUUAGUCGGGUAAGUCUUGCUGAGUUAUUCCAUACUCAGGGUUUUAUCCCCUGUUGUUUUUCAGGUCAUAGUUUUGUGCUGCUGAUGAUGGUGUUAAGUGCCGGUGGGCUCGGCCUUCUAUAAGUCUAAGUACUUCUUCUAUACUUCUUAUUGAGGAUGGUCACUUGAGCUAGCAUAUAUUUCAAGCUUAUACUUUUGUAAUCACUCCGAUAAAAUAAUGUAAAUUUUUUGUAACCUGUAAAAUUUGGUAAUAAGAUUUCCGCUGCAAAAAUGUUGAUGUGUGUGAUUUGUAUUACUUAAUCUUGUGGUUCUGGUUGCAAGUGGUUUAUCCGGGGUCCUUGGGGCACUCGGACAGAUCCUGUUAAGUUAUCUGGUGCACAUGCAUAGCCGUCUGAGGUCUUUGAGACAAGGACAGGUGCAUGUGGGCCCAAUAACUUGGGAGGUUCUGCCACAGCUGGUAUCAGAGCAGGAUUAAGUAUAAUACGGUCACAUACGUAUUUUAAAAAAACAAAGUUUUGGUUUUAUAAAACCUAUUUUCAACUAAACACAUUGUUUGGCUUUGAAAAAUAGUUUUGAAAAACUAUAAUGCUAGCGACAUCCUCUAUUAAGCCCUAAAUUAAGGACUAUCAUGUGGCUUAGUUCAAAACCACUAACCCACAACCGGGUGGGUACUGCAUAUAUGUGUAUUGUUAUUUUUGAGGCCAUUCAGUUUUGAAUGGAUCGACGCUUAAGGUAAGGUGAGAUGUGAGAGCAUGACCGAACAAACGUCGGUCUAGGGAAGAGCGUAAAAAGCGCUUGAUUAUAUACAUGUUCCACAUAUGUAUAUAUGAAGGCUGCGAUAUGGAGUAAUUAUUUUUUUGGGAAUUCAGUACCCCAUGGAGGUGUAUGGGUAUACAGACAUGGGAAUACUAAGAAAUGUAAUGUACUUGCAACGACGCACCUACGCUCAGGUAAGAAGGUGAGUUACCAUAAUGAGUUGCCCUAUGGUUAAAGUGUGGCAACGACGCCUAUGCGUGGCUCGGUGCUUCAUGAUGAGCUGGCCUCCAUAUAGCAAUAUAUGGAGUAUAAACUGUGAUAAAUUGCCUUGUGUGAACUGCAUCAUUGGGAAAUUGGGCUGUGAUGGAAUUUUCUGCAGGUACACUAACCUCGAAAAUGUAUGUGUAGCUGACGACUAGCAAAAUACCGUGAGAGUCGUAAGUAUGCCACCGAGAUAGAACGCUACUGCCACAUUAGAUUGGCACAAAUUCGUGAGGACGUAUAGGACGAGCAUGCAUCCUAAUUGUUGCAUCAUGUUUGUUACCUAUACAUCCAAAAUGCUUCUCUCAUCCUUAUUCCAGAAACCAGUGAUUGUAGAUAAUCUGGUGUAAUGUUGAAUUAUGAACUUCAAUAAAAUAGUUGUUCUUCGUUCCUUAGGUAUAAUGUUUAGAUGCUAUAUGUGUGCUCUUGUGCUUAAUGUGUCGAUAGAAGGUUAGACACUUGUUUGCCUAAAACUAAACCUAGGCCAUGUUCUUAGUAGGUGAACCAUGACCCAAAGUUGAAUUUUCUGUUAUUUCCCCAUGACCAAACUCAUGUAAAUGGAUGUUUGGAUAAUUCCUUUAUCCAACGCAAGGUGUGCAUGGGCUUAAAGCUAGGAUCUCGAGUCCAUGUUCUUGCUAUUUAAUUUGUGAUGUUUUAGUUGUCAUAAUUCCAUCUUAGACCAUGCCCUUGUUCGAUUGGCACAAGCUGAUGUCCCUUAUCUAGUUUGCCUGUUCUUAAGGAUCGCCAUGUUGCUUUAUCAACCUAACCUAGGAAAGGAAUACCCAAUCUUUUUCUUGAACUUGAUGCCUUUGGUUUCCUCAAUCUAUCGAAGGCAUACCAACUUCAUCUUAUGAUUGUUUUCCCUUCGCAUCUAGUCAGAUAUUAAUCCUUGACCUUGUAAUCUCUCUGAUGGGCAUAGAAAUCUACUUGGGACUGAAUUAACAGUCUCCCAUCGUACUCAUUCAGCAACAAGUUUAGGUUAUGGCCAUGCCUUGUUCAUUUCAUCGGGCCAUGAUCUAUUUGGCUCUCUACUUGUAACCAUUUUGACAGGUAGAGUCUCUUGUGUAUAUUGUCACCCUUACUCAAUUCAUUUGUGUCGCGUGAGAUUUCUUAUUGGUUAUGUCUGAUAAUGGUGUUAUGGCUAAAAACUGAUGGUGCCAUGACGAAACCGAGGGCCUCCUGUGGACGAUCGACACACGGUUGUGCUGCUCGGCACGCGCUGGUAUCAUGGUUAGUAGUUGUGAUCCAUUAUGAGACUAUAUCAAUGGGUUAUCUUGGCACAAUCUGUUUUUGCUACAUGGGAUUCUAUGUUGGUACCAGUUCAGUAAUGCUGUCAUGAUUAAUGACUUAUGGUGCCGCAGCAAAACUGAGAGCCUCCUGUGAAUGCGCACACAGGAUUGUGCUACUCAUCGGAUGCUGGUAUCAAGGUCUCUGGUCAUGAUCCAUUAUGGAACUACCCUAAUAUGUUAUCUUCCGUAGAUCCCUUCCUUGAAACGAUUUUUGUGUUGUUUAUCGAAAUAAUCAAGCAACAUCUAUCAUCUCUGUUGGAUCAAAAGGGCAUACCACUUUCAGGUGUGGUCUCUUUUCUUUUGAUCUUGGUAGUGACUACACAUCCAAGUUCCCUUUGCAUCCUUUGUGUAAAGGCGAAUCCUUGAAGCUUUUUAGUGUUAGAAGACAACUGAUUAGCUCUCAAAAUGGAGAUUGGCUUUCCCUACUGCUGAGAUGCAGGAGUUUGUUCAUUCGCUCUUUUAUUUAAUCCACGUAUUCCCUGACCAAGUGGAUAAUUCAUCUCGCAUGAAGAAACGGAUGAACCCCAUGGCCAAAUGGAUUUCUACCCAAGUGCAUGACCUCUUUUUAGCAAAUGUAAACUCUUGACUGUUGUCUUACCGAUGGUACUGAGAGUAGUUGCUCAAUGUCAAAAGUAGUUCAACGAGUUGGUUUUAUUAACUUGUAACUGAAAUGUGAUCAAAGGUUGAGUUUAGGGAUCGAUUUAUCGAGUUGUCUAAACCCACUUUGGUUCAACCCAUCCUAAGAAAGUUCUUACAAAAAUCAAGUUAAAUCGACUAAUAACCACCUAAUCAUCGCUCUAGUCAUGCCUCGGCCGCCUCACGCAUGCUUUUCCAGCGUGUGUGAUCAUGUCGAGCCAUGCCUAGUGCUGGAUAAAAUGGACUGACUGUAAAGUCUGUAUCUACAAACCCCUCCGCUGGUGAUUCUCUUGAAUCUAUACCCUCUUUCGUGGACUUGAAUUCUCAGGUUAGCCACAUGUUAACCGCGACAGUAUUCAACAUCCACACUCGUCUUGUGUGCUACGAGCUUACCGUGACCACUUGUUGGUAAACCUCUUUCUAUGUGUUUUACUCAAGAGGUUGCAUCUGAUUCUGUUUAGGUAAAGUCGCAUAUCCACCGCUUGCUCAACAGACUCAGAUAGUACAAUGUCAUCAGAAAAAGCAAACUGCACACCUGGAACCCUAUGUGUUCUUCUGGUAGAUACUGUCUCUACUAAUGGACAUUUUUAAAUUGGCUUAAGUCAAUACAUGUUAUGUCCACUAGAGAAACAACAUUCUGAGACACUUGUCUUCGUUCAGGACUGUCUUAUGCUUAUCGCUGAUAUGGAUAUGGGGUACAUGCUUCUCUACCCUUAAAAGUCUUUCGCUCCGAAUCUCGGGACGAGAUUCUUUUAAGGGGGGAGGACUGUAACACCCCAGGUGUGUAUAUUCCGCUCGACAACGAGUAUGGAUUUAAGCACGUAAUAUCAGUGGGUGAACAGACGCUAAAUUUUAAUUAUCUUCGCUGAUCGCGAUUUUAAUAUCGCGUCGGUUUCGUCGAUCGCGAGUUCGACAUCGUUUUUAUUUUUAUCUAUCCGGGCUCUUCCGAAAUUUUCGUGAUGUUCGGAAUAUUGCUGGCCAUUUCUGUUUCCUGUUUCAAAAUCCGAGAAGAAAAAUCUUCUCACAGUGCUCUCUCUCCUUAUCUCCUCACGUACGCUACGCAGAUUUUUCUAGUCUUCGUUCUCAUCCACGCACGGAAGGAAAAUCUUCUCUGCGUUCCUAUCCUCCACUCUGAUAUUUCAUCGCUCUGAUUUUUGUUGAAGUUGCUGGCCGCUCAGCCUUAUCUAGCGUGCAGGCUCUUCUUCAAAAAUCCCAUGCGUACAUCUCCCUUCCCUCGCCUUAUCUCUCCACCGCUUUCUCUCUUCCAUCUGAUAUGCCGCGUCGCUGUAUUCUGGAAAGCAAAAGAAAAUUCCACCGCUGUUCUUCUGUUGAAAUUCCUGCCGUCUCUUCUUAUCUGCUGCUAGGACUUUUACCGUCGUCAUUCUCCCAGCUGAGCACUCUCUCUGCUCUUUCUCGCAUCCAGCCAUGGCGCCCCUGUUCUUCUCUUUUCCAGUCCGGCCAGCCGAGCGCUCCUUCUCCCACCCAUGGAGCUCCCGGCUGUGCAGCUCGCCCAAUCCCUAGCCCGACCGGAGCUCCCUACAACUCGAGUUCCCAUCUCCCUGUAUCUCCCAUGGGAGAGCGUCCUGCCGAGGUCUCUCCAUGGCCGGCGCUCGGACUGUGUUAUUUCUUCCAGGCUGCCGCGCCCUGCCCUCUGUUCUGCUCGCCGGUCUGAGCUCACCCAGCUCAGCCACUCUUCUCUACUCGCCUAGUCUGCGCGCCGUCCCAUCCCCUCUCUGUCCGGCCAUGGCCGCUGUGCCGAGGCCUCCUUACCCGCGCGCAGUUUUUCCCUCGCUCGGAGUCCCUCCCAUGGCAGCCGCUCGUUCGUUUCCCUGAUGCUCGCCGCGCGCUUUUCUAUUGACCGGCGUGAUCCCUUUCUCUAAUGUUUUCCUGCUCGUCCGUCCGCUGCUCCGUCGUCGUUCUCGGGCCGACCGUCGGCAGCUCCCCGGCUUCCGUCAUGCUCGGCAGCAAGUAAUUCAUGUCGAAGCAGCAGCUAUGAUGCCUUGCGUCACCUCGCCAGACCUACAGCUCCAUAUAUGUCACUCUCUCGUAUCAUCGUCGAGCCCAGCGAACCUCAUUCUUCUCUGCUCGAUCUCGUUGACCACGAAUCCCGGACUUUAGACAAAAAUAAGCGAGGUCCCUGUGCAUCGCUUAUCAAGUACUCGGUCCAAGACUUCAAUCGAAGAUUGUCGUCAUUCCGUGCGUCAUCGAGGAAUCCCAAGGAUUGGAUGAAGACGAAACUAGCAGCGCGGUAUUCCCCAAGCGCUCGACAAAUUGCCUGAAUCGGAAAAAUCGCUACCGAUCUCAUGGAUUCAUGUCAGCUGUGGAAACGGUACGUGAAUUAACCACGCGAUGCGGAGAACCAUAACUGAGUCGACCAUAAGAUGGUGCUGAUGAAUGGAACUGGAGAUGGACAGACGAAGCAAGUAUCGGGACAAAGGAUGGUCGUCAAGUGAUCGACGCCUAACAAACACUAACGUAGUGUUUAUCCCAGGCAAGCCCCGGUGCAUGCAACCCCUUCCUUGUGUUUUUAAAUAA